AAAGUGAAAGUGUUAGUCGCUCAGUUGUGUCCGCCUCUUUGUGACCCCAUGGACGGUUGCCCACCAGGCUCCUCUGUCCAUGAGAUUUUCCAGGCAAGGAUACUGGAGUGGGGUGCCAUUUCCUUCUCCAGUGGA